rnacentral:rRNA from 1 species
CAAGUCGCGUGCGCAGUUCCGUAGCAAUACGGGAUCGGCGCACGGCGCACGGGUGCGUAACACGUGGGCAAUCUGCCCUUUGAUGGGGAAUAACCCGCCGAAAGGCGGGCUAAUUCCGCAUAAGAUUCUUCGGACUUCGGUCUGGAGAUUGAAAGCAGCAAUGCGUCGAAGGAGGAGCCCGCGCCCGAUUAGCUAGUUGGUGAGGUAAUGGCUCACCAAGGCUUUGAUCGGUAGCUGGUCUGAGAGGAUGAUCAGCCACACUGGAACUGAGACACGGUCCAGACUCCUACGGGAGGCAGCAGUGGGGAAUCUUGCACAAUGGGCGAAAGCCUGAUGCAGCGACGCCGCGUGGGGGAUGAAGCAUUUCGGUGUGUAAACCCCUUUCGACUGGGAAGAAUACCUCGCAAGAGGGGUGACGGUACCAGUAGAAGAAGCCCCGGCUAACUACGUGCCAGCAGCCGCGGUAAGACGUAGGGGGCCAGCGUUGUUCGGAAUUACUGGGUGUAAAGGGUUCGUAGGCGGUGCGGCAAGUUGGGAGUGAAAUCUCUGGGCUUAACCCAGAGGCUGCUUCCAAAACUGCUGUGCUCGAGUGUGAGAGAGGCUCGUGGAAUUGCAGGUGUAGCGGUGAAAUGCGUAGAUAUCUGCAGGAACACCCGUGGCGAAAGCGGCGAGCUGGAUCACUACUGACGCUGAGGAACGAAAGCUAGGGGAGCAAACAGGAUUAGAUACCCUGGUAGUCCUAGCCCUAAACGAUCAGGACUUGGGGUGCCGCCCGUUCGGGCGUCGUCCCGGAGCUAACGCGUUAAGUCCUGCACCUGGGGAGUACGGUCGCAAGACUGAAACUCAAAGGAAUU